rnacentral:rRNA from 1 species
GAUGAACGCUAGCGGCAGGCCUAAUACAUGCAAGUCGAGCGGCAAGUCGAGGAGUAAUCUGAGACCUAGAGCGGCGUACGGGUGCGUAACGCGUAUGCAACCUACCUCAUACAGGGGGAUAGCCCGGAGAAAUCUGGAUUAAUACCCCGUAGCACAGCACAAGGGCAUCUGCGAGCUGUUAAAGAUUCAUCGGUAUGAGAUGGGCAUGCGUCUGAUUAGCUAGUUGGCGGUGUAACGGACCACCAAGGCGACGAUCAGUAGGGGUUCUGAGAGGAAGGUCCCCCACACUGGCACUGAGAUACGGGCCAGACUCCUACGGGAGGCAGCAGUAGGGAAUAUUGGGCAAUGGACGAGAGUCUGACCCAGCCAUGCCGCGUGCAGGAAGAAGGCCUUCUGGGUUGUAAACUGCUUUUAUCUGGGAAGAAAAGGCCCAUGCGUGGGACAUUGCCGGUACCAGAUGAAUAAGCACCGGCUAACUCCGUGCCAGCCGCCGCUGUAACAC